ACUUUUGUUUUGACAGCCUAUGCAAUAAAAUUGGAACCUUCCAGAUAGAUUAGCAUGGGCUCCACACAAGGAUGAUAGGCAAUUAAGUGAAGCAUUCCAUACAUUU
ensembl:snRNA U6 U6 spliceosomal RNA